rnacentral:lncRNA from 1 species
CUCUUGGAUUGGAAGCUAUUAUGGAGUUCAAAGAAGCAAAUGAUGAUGGCCUUAUCAUCUUCUGAACCGAAGUAUGUAGCCGUGGCAUCUUCGGCUUGUCUAGCAUUAUGAUUGAGAAGGCUACUUGAAAAUCUUUAUUAAUCUUAAAAAGAAGUUACUAAUAUAUUAUGUGACAAUCGAGCGGCAAUAUCAAUAACAAAUAAUCUAAUUUUUCAUGGA